UACGUAGGUGGCAAGCGUUGUCCGGAAUCAUUGGGCGUAAAGCGCGUGUAGGCGGCCCGGUAAGUCCGCUGUGAAAGUCGGGGGCUCAACCCUCGGAUGCCGGUGGAUACUGUCGGGCUAGAGUGCGGAAGAGGCGAGUGGAAUUCCUAGGUGUAGCGGUGAAAUGCGCAGAUAUCAGGAGGAACACCAAUUGCGAAGGCAGCUCGCUGGGACGUGACUGACGCUGAGACACGGAAAGCCAGGGGAGCGAACGGG
rnacentral:rRNA from 1 species